CCUACGGGAGGCAGCAGUGAGGAAUAUUGGUCAAUGGGCGGAAGCCUGAACCAGCCAAGUCGCGUGAGGGAAUAAGGCCCUACGGGUCGUAAACCUCUUUUGUCGGGGAGCAAGGGCGGGGACGUGUCCCCGCCCGGAGAGUACCCGGAGAAAAAGCAUCGGCGAACUCCGUGCCAGCAGCCGCGGUAAUACGGAGGAUGCGAGCGUUAUCCGGAUUGAUUGGGUUUAAAGGGUGCGUAGGCGGGCUUUUAAGUCAGCGGUAAAAAUUCGGGGCUCAACCCCGUCCGGCCGUUGAAACUGGGGGCCUUGAGUGGGCGAGAAGAAGGCGGAAUGCGUGGUGUAGCGGUGAAAUGCAUAGAUAUCGCGCAGAACCCCGAUUGCGAAGGCAGCCUUCCGGCGCCCUACUGACGCUGAGGCACGAAAGUGCGGGGAUCGAACAGGAUUAGAUACCCCAGUAGUC
rnacentral:rRNA from 1 species